GAUGGGGAGCUUGUAAGAGAAAUCUACCAUCAUCCGGACAGGCGGGGCCCGCACCAGGGAGGGAGAAGAGGAAACGAUGAGAAACAACGGGCUAUUAAAAUAAAGGGGAAAAUUGGUGAUGCAAGAGAAACUUGCAGGAACAAAGCCUUGAGUAGGCUCUUCAUGUCUGCCAGCAAUAUGUACCAUACCUGCUCUGCUCAAGGUGACUGGGGAGAAUGUUCCACUACCCCCUGCGCCUCCCUCAACCAUGAAGAGCCACACCCUUCAACCAUUGCUGUCUAUGGCUCCUGGACUAUGUUGGGUAUAUGGACCUCCUCCUGAGGUUUGCCACCUAGGCUCCAGGGGGACGUGUGUGCAUCUAUGAAGAGCAUCGGCUUCUACGGCUGGCCAUCAAAACUGGAGGCUUGCAGGUGGGGAGAGGCCAACAGGAGUCCUUGUGGGUUCCAGUUCAUCUUCAGGGGUCCAGUUUGACCUUGACAUCUACGAUGGCAUGUCCAUCUUUCAGAACUGCCUUACUAAUUUCUAGCCCAACACCAGAUACACAGGCAACAACUGUGUGGAAACCCCUCAACCAGCCCUCAUAAUUGUGUAAAGUUAAAUACCUAUAAUAAAUCCCUGAUUUUAUAUCACU